rnacentral:rRNA from 1 species
UACAGAGGGUGCGAACGUUGCUCGGAAUUACUGGGCGUAAAGCGCAUGUAGGCGGAUCCAUAAGUCGGGCGUGAAAUCCCCAGGCUCAACCUGGGAACUGCGCUCGAAACUGUGGGUCUUGAGUGUCGGAGAGGAUGGCGGAAUUCCUGGUGUAGAGGUGAAAUUCGUAGAUAUCAGGAGGAACACCGGUGGCGAAGGCGGCCAUCUGGACGACAACUGACGCUGAGAUGCGAAAGCGUGGGGAGCAAACGGG